GACGAACGCUGGCGGCGUGCUUAACACAUGCAAGUCGAACGGUAAGGCCCUUCGGGGUACACGAGUGGCGAACGGGUGAGUAACACGUGGGUGAUCUGCCCUGCACUUAGGGAUAAGCCUGGGAAACUGGUCUAAUACCGGAUAGGACUCCGGACUGCAUGGGCUGGGGUGGAAAGCUGUUGCGGUGUGGGAUGGGCCCGCGGCCUAUCAGCUUGUUGGUGGGGUGAUGGCCUACCAAGGCGACGACGGGUAGCCGGCCUGAGAGGGUGACCGGCCACACUGGGACUGAGAUACGGCCCAGACUCCUACGGGAGGCAGCAGUGGGGAAUAUUGCACAAUGGGCGCAAGCCUGAUGCAGCGACGCCGCGUGAGGGAUGACGGCCUUCGGGUUGUAAACCUCUUUCAGCAUCGACGAAGCGAAAGUGACGGUAGGUGCAGAAGAAGGACCGGCCAACUACGUGCCAGCAGCCGCGGUAAGAC
rnacentral:rRNA from 1 species